UUGGUACUCCCUCCGUCCAACAAAGGAUGUCUCAACUUUGACUAAAUUUGAAUGCAUCUAUACACUAAGUCAUGUCUAGAUACAUCCAAAUUUUGACAAACUUGAGACAUCUUUUGUCGGAUGGAGGGAGUAUAUG
rfam:Brachypodium distachyon strain Bd21 chromosome 3, whole genome shotgun sequence.